UACGGAGGAUGCGAGCGUUAUCCGGAUUUAUUGGGUUUAAAGGGUGCGUAGGCGGACGCUUAAGUCAGCGGUAAAAUUGCGGGGCUCAACCUCGUCGAGCCGUUGAAACUGGGUGCCUUGAGUGGGCGAGAAGUACGCGGAACGCGUGGUGUAGCGGUGAAAUGCAUAGAUAUCACGCAGAACUCCGAUUGCGAAGGCAGCGUACCGGCGCCCAACUGACGCUGAAGCACGAAGGCGUGGGGAUCGAACAGG
rnacentral:rRNA from 1 species